CAGAGACCUCAAGCGUUAUCCGGAAUCAUUGGGCGUAAAGCGUACCGAUAGGUGGUUAUGCAAGUCAGACGUGAAAUCUCCGAGCUCAACUCGGAAUCUGUCGUUUGAAACUGCACAACUAGAGGGGCAAAGAGGAAGCUGGAACGAACGGUGUAGUAGUGAAAUGCGUUGACAUCGUUCGGAACACCAAUAGCGUAGGCAGGCUUCUGGGUGCCACCUGACACUGCUAGGACGAAAGCGUGGGGAGCGAAGGGGAUUAGAUACCCCCGUAGUCCACGCUGUAAACGAUGUACAUUCGCCGCUAGGGAGUAUCGACCCUUUUUAGUGGCAAAGCUAACGCGUUAAAUGUACCGCCUGGGGAGUACGGCCGCAAGGCUA
rnacentral:rRNA from 1 species